UCUCUCUCACCCAUUCACUCCCUCAUUCACGCUCUCUCUCCCUCACUCUCGACAUCUCUCUUUCUCUCUUCUCCCUCACUACCUUCUUCUUCAUUCUCCUCUGAAACCCUAGACCAAACACAACCCCAUCUCCUUUCCUUCUUGGCCGCCGCCACCCAAGGCCAAGCCGCCACCACCGCGAGCCUCUUCCUCUCACGCGCAUGCUGCCACCUCCAUGUCUCCUUCACGCGAACACGCCGCCACCAUGGGCAACAACCGCCGCCUCUCCCCCUUCGUUCUCUCUGGCCAGCCGCGAGCACCAUCGCGUCUUCAUCACCAUCAGACGGCCAUGAACGCGCCGCCAAAGCCACCACCACAAAACCCUAAAACCGCCAUCUUUCUUCCCCGAUCUCCGGCGAACCACUGAGUUUUUGGAGAAACCGACACCGUCGUUGGACUCCCCUUGAUGUCCGCAACAAAACCCCCCAAUCAAUUUGAGGUUUCGCCGCCGAGCUCCGCCGGAGGCGAUUCCCGGCGAGUCAUCAACCUGCAACUACUCGUUUCUCCCUCCUCAGACCUCCGUUGACGAUAAAACCACCACCAUCGUGCUCCACUCCAAGAGGAGGUCACGACCAUCCUCUCCUUUUGUCUCCGGCGACAUCGCCGCUGCCAGCCACCGUCAACCACCGUCUUUUCCGGCGAGGGCUCGCCGGAGGACUUACUCAGUUCAGAACCAGAAAGCCCUUUCUCUCCUCUGCUCGAUUUGAUGAUCAAUUUUCGUGUUUUUCAACAUUGAUGGUCCUCAGAGGAAGGCAAAAGCUGCUGUUAGAGAAAAUGAAGAAGCAAAUUCAGAACCUUAGCCAUGAGGCUUAAGGUAGAAAAGGAAAUAUUUUUCUGUUUUGGGUAUUGUUUUAAUUCUUGUAGGGGCUGAAAAUGUUUUUGAAAAUGUAAGGGCAUUUGAGAUUGUUAAUCUCUAGUUAGUUUUGUUGUUUAUGUAUUGAUUAUCUCUGGAUGAGCAUGGGUUUGAUAUUAGAUUAGGAAAAGUUUAUGCUGCUUCUGUCUUGAGAUUAUAGUAGCUUCUGUUAUGUACAAUAUCUAGGUUUAAUGACCGAAUUUGAAGAAGUAAUAUUCAUAAGAAUUGUAGCAUUUUCUGUUAGCAAACUUUUACCGCUGGUUUCAUGUCAUUAUGAUUUCUCUAGCUCAGGUUAUAUGCAUUUUAGUGAGCACGGGUUAAGCUGUCCCGUUUCUCACGAACUGCUGUAGUAUUUGAUUUUUCCUGAUAUUUGUACUUUGAAUUUGAACUUGGAAAUUUAUGAGGAUUUACAAAACCGGUAGAUGAAGCCAGGAUAAAAAUAUUAGAUUUUUCGGAGUUUAUUUGAUGUAUUUAAAAAUUAGCUAAAGUCGUUGUACAGUUGAUGUUCGUUUUGACAAAAUCAGUUAUUUCAAGUGAAAGUAGUUGUUUUGGAAAAAGAUGAGAAAACCUUUUAUUUUAAUUGAUAUUGCAAUGCUUUGGAGUAGGAAAACAUAUUUGAAAUUUACUUACGUAUGUUGUUUAUUCGUUUAUGAAAAUCAAGAACGUUUGAAUCUUUAAGCCCAUUUAUUCGUUAAAAAGCGAUUGCGAAAAGUUUUGAAAGUAGAACAAGUUUUUGGAGGGUUAGAGAAUAAGUGUUCAAAUAUUACCUCUUUGUUAAUGGAUGUUUAGGAAUUACAUGAUUGGAUAGAGAUAGGGCAAUUAAGUUUGGAUUUUUGAGUGAGGAAUUAGACUUUGAAAGGUAUUAAUUAGAAUGUAUUAAGUUGUGAUGACAAUCUUGAUGUUGGAAGAUAUGACUUAGGUUUGAAUCUUGAAUUUCAAGAAGUUUAUGAGCUUUUCUAUAAAUACUUGAUUUUAGAAGGUCUAGAUUUGAAACUUUGGAAGUUCGAGGACUUAGAAGUAAUUAAGGGUUUAAUUGAGGACUAGAACCCGUUUCUUAGAGAUUGAGGACCUAUCUAUAAGUUUGGGAUUUUUGUAGAAUCAAAGUGGAGUUUCAAAGAGACUAAGGUUUAGUGUCUAACGAGAUAUCACGAGUUUAGGUUUAAGAGAAAUGAUUCGAUCGUUUUGAAGGAGCUUAUGAGUAUUGAAUAAGUACAUAAUCAUUAGAUAAGAAGAGUUGUUUGUCUUGGAAGUUAACUAUGGUUUAUGGAUUACUUGAUAAGAGUUAGUGGAUUUGAUAAGAAUUGAUAAUGAUACAACGUUGGCUUGAGGAAUAGAUUGUGAGAGCGAGUUGAGACAUUAAGUCGUUGUAAGUGACUCGAUAAGUAAGUAUUCUUUAUUUGCUCUUUCUAUUUUGGCAAGCAUUGUUAUUGUUUUGUUGUCAUUAUGAUGACUUGUCUUAAUUUCGGUGAUUGACCCUAAUGGUUUAUAACCAUUGCGAAUAUUCAGUUUAACUUGUGUUUUCUUCGAGUCAUUUGCUUGAGGUUGUAGCUCUAGACUUAAGUAGUAAGUAGCGCGAUUAGUGAUUUCGUUAAGUAUGCUUAUGAAAGGUACGAAGAACGGAAGCACCUUGCAUCGAAGCUACACGAUGGAAUAAAGCGAGUCUACACGGCAAAGCAAAGAUGUGAUUGGAUUGGAGUUGUAGCUUAGUAAGGGAGUUGGCUAAGGAAUGGCCAAAAGUU